rnacentral:rRNA from 1 species
AUUGAACGCUGGCGGCAGGCUUAACACAUGCAAGUCGAGCGGGGAAGGGUAGCUUGCUACCUGACCUAGCGGCGGACGGGUGAGUAAUGCUUAGGAAUCUGCCUAUUAGUGGGGGACAACAUUCCGAAAGGAAUGCUAAUACCGCAUACGCCCUACGGGGAAAGCAGGGGAUCUUCGGACCUUGCGCUAAUAGAUGAGCCUAAGUCAGAUUAGCUAGUUGGUGGGGUAAAGGCCUACCAAGGCGACGAUCUGUAGCGGGUCUGAGAGGAUGAUCCGCCACACUGGGACUGAGACACGGCCCAGACUCCUACGGGAGGCAGCAGUGGGGAAUAUUGGACAAUGGGCGAAAGCCUGAUCCAGCCAUGCCGCGUGUGUGAAGAAGGCCUUUUGGUUGUAAAGCACUUUAAGCGAGGAGGAGGCUACUUGGAUUUAAUACUCUAGGAUAGUGGACGUUACUCGCAGAAUAAGCACCGGCUAACUCUGUGCC